rnacentral:rRNA from 1 species
UACCAGCCCCUCGAGUGGUGGGGAUGAUUAUUUGGCCUAAAGCGUCCGUAGCCGGCCGGGAAAGUCUCCCGUUAAAUCCAACGUCUCAAGCGUUGGACUGCGGGAGAUACUGCCUGGCUAGAGAGUGGGAGAGGUCAGCGGUAUUCUGGGGGUAGGGGCGAAAUCCUUUGAUCCCCGGAGGACCACCAGUGGCGAAGGCUGCUGACUAGAACACGUCUGACGGUCAGGGACGAAAGCUGGGGUAGCGAACCGGAUUAGAUACCCGGGUAGUCCCAGCCGUAAACGAUGCAUGCUAGGUGUUGGGUUGGCCACGAGCCACCCCAGUGCCGCAGGGAAGCCGUUAAGCAUGCCGCCUGGGAAGUACGAUCGCAAGAUUAGAAACUUAAAGGAAUUGGCGGGGAGCACCACCAGGCGUGAAGCCUGCGGUUU